rnacentral:rRNA from 1 species
AUUGAACGCUGGCGGCAGGCCUAACACAUGCAAGUCGAGCGGAUGACGGGAGCUUGCUCCUGGAUUCAGCGUCGGACGGGUGUGUAAUGCCUAGGAAUCUGCCUGGUAGUGGGGGAUAACGUCCGGAAACGGGUGCUAAUACCGCAUACGUCCUGAGGGCGAAUGAGGGGGAUCUUCGGCACUGUCGCUAUCAGAUGAGCCUAGGUCGGUUUAGCUAGUUGGUGGGGUAAAGGCCUACCAAGGCGGCGAUCGGUAACUGGUCUGACGGGAUGGUCAGACACACUGGAACUGAGGGACAGUCCAGACUCUUACGGGGAGCAACAGUGGGGAAUAUUGCGCGAUGGACGAAAGGCUGAUCCAGCAAAGCGGCGUGAGUGAAGAAGGUCUUCGGAUGGUAAAACACUUUAAGUUGGGGGGAAGGGCAGUAAGAUAAUCCCUUGCUGUUUUGACGUUACCAACAGAAUAAGCACCGGCUAACUUCGUG